CGAGGACCCUUUGAUAGGUAACUUUCGAAGGACUCCUAGUGGCGAACGGGUGAGUAACACGUGAGCAACCUGCCCCGAAGACCGGGAUAGCCCAUGGAAACGUGGAUUAAUACCGGAUACCCUCGAGGGACCGUAUGGCCCCAUGAGGAAAGGCUCCGGCGCUUCGGGAUGGACUCGCGGCCUAUCAGCUUGUUGGUGAGGUAACGGCUCACCAAGGCUCUGACGGGUAGCUGGUCUGAGAGGACGAUCAGCCACACUGGGACUGAGACACGGCCCAGACUCCUACGGGAGGCAGCAGCAGGGAAUAUUGCACAAUGGGCGCAAGCCUGAUGCAGCGACGCCGCGUGAGGGAUGAAGGCUUUCGAGUUGUAAACCUCUUUCAGUGGGGAAGAAGCGCAAGUGACGGUACCCACACAAGAAGGCCCGGCCAACUACGUGCCAGCAGCCGCGGUAAUACGUAGGGGCCAAGCGUUAUCCGGAUUUAUUGGGCGUAAAGAGCUCGUAGGCGGCUUGGCAAGUCGGUCGUGAAAGUCCGAGGCUCAACCUCGGAAUGCCGGUCG
rnacentral:rRNA from 1 species